rnacentral:tRNA from 1 species
AAAUAUUGAAGUAAUACAAAUUACAUCUAGUUUCGGCCUAGAAUAAGAAUAUAUAAUUCCUUAUUUA